AGUAUAGUCUUGUCCUCACAAAAGCUGAUGGGUGAAGUGUACCUUUUCUUCUUUGAAACGUGUCUCACUGAAGUUCACCCUCUGCGUCUCUUCUCCUCCUUCCCUAUUACGCGUGUUCUGCAUGGUCUCUCUCCUGCUGAUGCUGCCUUCACCUGGGUCCUGGCAUGUGUCUUAACCCCAGGGAGAAGGAAUCACUUUGCCUACUACAACUAUCACACUUACGAAGAUGGUUCUGACUCUAGAGAUAAGCCAAAGCUUUACCGCCUUCAGUUAAGUGUUACUGAAGUUGGGACAGAAAAGUUGGAUGACAACUCUAUCCAGUUGUUUGGCCCAGGAAUUCAGCCCCAUCACUGUGACCUUACCAACAUGGAUGGAGUGGUCACUGUGACGCCCAGAAGUAUGGACGCAGAAACCUACGUGGAAGGCCAGCGCAUCUCAGAAACCACCAUGCUGCAGAGUGGCAUGAAAGUGCAGUUUGGGGCGUCCCAUGUAUUUAAGUUUGUGGACCCCAGUCAGGAUCAUGCUCUUGCAAAAAGAUCUGUGGAUGGAGGCCUGAUGGUUAAGGGCCCAAGACAUAAAC
rnacentral:sRNA from 1 species